AAUCUACUUCAAAAAACUCAAUAUUUUACUGGAUACGAUCUUCAUAAUGAAGAAUGUAUAUAUAAAUGCCUAAAAUAAAAUUCAUCUGAUCCUUGUUCAUGAAUAUAAGUAUUAAUCCCUCCAUGAUAUAUAAACAUCGUCAGUACGAUAUCUUUGAGUAAUCGUCGAUUCUGCGACGGCACAUCGGUCCCCGGUUUUAUAAGCCAACAACCCUGCUUGGGCUAUCAUUAUACCAUUAUCAAUACAGAAACGUUCAUCUGUAGAAAAAACAUCAGCGCCUCUAUCCGAACUCAUUUCAGCCAUCAUUUGUUGGAGACGUUCAUUGCAUCCAACACCUCCAACAAUUAAAACAGAAUCAGCUCUGAUAUGUGCCAUCGCGCGUUCUGUAAUUUCAACUAGCAUUGCAAAGCCAGUUUCCUGUAAAGAGUAACAAAGAUCUUGCUUUGUAACAGAACUCGGAUUUUUUGGGUCUAAUAGCUCUGUAGCUGCCGCUUCAACCCCUGACAACAAUCCGGAAAAUGAACAAUCCAUACCUUUAACAGUAUAGGGUAACUCUAUAAAUCUUUUGCCUCUAGGAAAAAAUUAGUAUAAAACAUCAAAGUGAGUCUUACUUUUUUGCUUCUUGCAUAAUAUUGUAACCAGGUGAAGGUGCAUUGGACAAACCAAUGAUUCUGGCAAAUCGAUCCAAACAAUUGCCUAUAGCAAUAUCAAGCGUUUCACCAAAAAUCCUAUACUUCUUCUCUGAGUAUGCAAUUACUUGAGUGUUUCCCCCAGAAACAUAAAGCACGACAGGAUUUUGUGCACCCGUAAUUUCACGACCCAUUUCAAUGUGACCAAUACAAUGAUUAACUGCUACUAAAGGUUUCUUGUGAAUUAGUGAUAACAUCCUAGCACAAAGAGCUACACUAUUCAGAGGAGCACCGAUUCCUGGCCCCUUUGUGAAACAAAUGCAAUCAAUAUCUUUAAAAGAAAUUUUUGCCUCAGCAAACGCUUGCUUAAUUAAAGGGAUUAUCCACGCACGAUGAUGCUUAGCAGUAUCGCUGGGCAAGAAUCCCUGUCCGGGAGGAGUGAUAUAAGUGUGUCUGACAUUUGCUAAUAUUUUAGCCGAUCCAUUGGUAUCAUGCAAAAUAAUACCAACGCCUAAUUUGUUUGCUGAACCCUCUAAUCCAAGUGCAAUUAAAGGUUUUCCCAUAAUUAUUAACGUGAAUAAAUAUACGGUUCCUCACUGGUCAACAUAUGCCGUUCUUUUAUGUAUCAGUAAGUUAAAAAGUUGCGAGCAAGCUCAAACAAACCAACUAAAGUUAUUUCUGAUAGAAAAUACCCAAAAAUAAGAAACUGAAUAUUUUU